rnacentral:rRNA from 1 species
AUGGGAGCUGGGGCACCGCGAGUCGACGAGAAAAGCAUUGACGCAUGGCGCCAGCAGCGUGUUUGCCGGAUGACGGAGUGCUCACGAGGCAACGAUGGCAAGUUUCCACGGCGAUGUAGGGCAGCUAUGAUGAACUGCACGGUGGACAGGGCAUUCAUGGAAGCUGGGCGUCGCGAGUCAACGAGCAAAGCUAUCACGCAUGGGCAUGGCAAUGACAGCCCGUUCCAUGCGGGCUGA